UACAGAGGUCUCAAGCGUUGUUCGGAUUCAUUGGGCGUAAAGAGCGUGUAGGCGGCUAGGUAGGUGGGUUGUGAAAACUGGAGGCUCAACCUUCAGACGUCGACCCAAACCCCCUGGCUAGAGUCCGGAAGAGGAGAGUGGAAUUCCUGGUGUAGCGGUGAAAUGCGCAGAUAUCAGGAAGAACACCCGUGGCGAAGGCGGCUCUCUGGGACGGUACUGACGCUGAGACGCGAAAGCGUGGGGAGCGAACAGG
rnacentral:rRNA from 1 species